AAUCAUCAGAUAUUUUACCUCAUUCUAUGGAGGUGAGGAGCAAAAGAAAGACUUGGCUCUUACUAACCGUGGGGAGGGAGAAGGAGGAAGCAAAGGAAGAAAAAGAACAGCCUUAUCCUGGCAAGAAAACAAUGGAACAAGUUACAAUGCCUGUGGAUGGAUCAGAGU